AGCGAACGCUGGCGGCAGGCCUAACACAUGCAAGUCGAACGAACUCUUCGGAGUUAGUGGCGGACGUGUGAGUAACACGUGGGAACGUGCCUUUUGGUUCGGAAUAACUCAGGGAAACUUGUGCUAAUACCGAAUGUGCCCUUCGGGGGAAAGAUUUAUCGCCAUUAGAGCGGCCCGCGUCUGAUUAGCUAGUUGGUGGGGUAACGGCUCACCAAGGCGACGAUCAGUAGCUGGUCUGAGAGGAUGACCAGCCACACUGGGACUGAGACACGGCCCAGACUCCGACGGGAGGCAGCAGUGGGGAAUAUUGCGGAAUGGGCGAAAGCCUGACGAAGCCAUGCCGCGUGAAUGAUGAAGGUCUUAGGAUUGUAAAAUUCUUUCACCGGGGACGAUAAUGACGGUACCCGGAGAAGAAGCCCCGGCUAACUUCGUG
rnacentral:rRNA from 1 species